rnacentral:piRNA from 1 species
UAGACUAGGUAGUCGGAUCCGGAGUAAA